rnacentral:tRNA from 1 species
GAGGGUGUAGCUCGGUGGUAGAGUGCAUGCUUAGCAUGCACGAGGUACUGGCUUCAAUCCCUAGCACCUCCA